rnacentral:lncRNA from 1 species
UCCUUUAUCACGGCGGACAGCGGCUUCUUCUGCAAUGGAAAAAGUAACAAACGGGGUCGGACAGGCGCCGCGGCGGCCCUCCAGGCACACCUCCUGGCGGCCCGGAACCCGCGUCCCAAAGGGCCGCCCCGGAAAACCCCGCCUGAAUCCCGCCUCGGCACGGUCUGGCUCCUCUCGGCCUGUUUCCUCAUCAAACAGGCCCCAGAGAGGGCCUCGGCGGGCGGCAGCCACGGACAAAAGGUCCUGCCCAGGCCUGGAGGCACCCGGAGAGCCACCGCGGCCACCGGCCACCGCACGAAGGCCGAAGGAAGCUCCCGAGCGGCCGGUCAAGGCACGCCCAGCCCAGCCCAGGGCCCGGAAGAAGCAGCUGCUGCUUCCUUGUGAUGCCCUUUUUAUAAGACACCCACAACGGAGAGAGCGAGGAAGGGACGGGCAGCCGGCAGGCCUUCCACCAGAGCCAGAGAGAAGGCCUGAGCGGGCCUCUCCUGCACUCCCUUACCCAGGAUGUGACAGGCUCUCUGUCUCUGUGUCCGUCUGUCUAUCCGUCUGUCAGUGUCUGUGUCUGUCUAUCUGUGUCUGUCUGUGUCCGUCUGUCUGUCUGUGUCUAUCUGUCUCUGUCUGUCUGUGUCUGUGUGUCUGUCUGUGUCUGUCUGUCUGUGUCAGUCUGUGUCUGUCUGUCUGUGCCUGUCUGUCUGUGUCUGUGUGUCUGUGUCGGUCUGUGUCUGUCUGUCUGUGUCUGUGUGUCUGUCUGUCUGUCUGUGUCUGGCUGUGUCUGUGUCGGUCUGUGUCUGUCUGUCUGUGUCUGUCUGUCUGUCAGUGUCUGUCUGUGUCUGUGUGUCUGUCUGUCUCUGUCUGUCUGUCAGUGUCUGUCUGUCAGUGUCUAUCUGUGUCUGUCUGUCUGUGUCCGUCUGUGUGUCUGUGUCUGUCUGUGUCUGUCUGUCUGUCUCUCUUUCUCUCUCUCUAAACCCUCACCACCUGCCUUAGGAUCAAUACUGUGUAUUGGCUCCAAGACAGAAGAGUGAUAGGGUUUAGGCAAUGGGGGGAAGUGACUUGCCCAGGGUCACACAGCUGGGAAGUGUCUGAGACCAGAUUAGAACCCAGGGCCUCCCCUCUCUGGGCCUGGCUCUCCAUCCACUGAGCCGCUCGGCUUGCUCUUAGUUGAAAAUCCGCUCUGAACCCAGGAGUUUUGGACCAGAACAUUUCCUCCAUUCAGGGGUCCUUCCCUGAGCCUAGACAGGCAAAGUGGUCGGACCCGGCCCUGCUCCCCAAAUAAAGCCAGGCAGCGUCCGUCA